AACGCACAUUGCGCCCUUUGGCAUUCCGAAGGGCAUGCCCGUUCGAGCGUCAUUAAACCCAUCAAGCCUGGCUUGGUAUUGGGCGUCGGGGACCCCCCGCGCUCCAAUUUCACCGGCUGGCCGUCGCCCGUCUUAAGCGUUGUGAAACACCUCUCGCUCAAAGCAGGCCCGGACACGCCGUCACAAUCCACGGAUUUCGGUCUCGAAAUUCAUCAAGGUUGACCUCGGAUCGGGUAGGAAUACCCGCUGAACUUAA
rnacentral:misc_RNA from 1 species